GAUGAACGCUGGCGGCGUGCCUAAUACAUGCAAGUCGAGCGAACGGACGAGAAGCUUGCUUCUCUGAUGUUAGCGGCGGACGGGUGAGUAACACGUGGAUAACCUACCUAUAAGACUGGGAUAACUUCGGGAAACCGGAGCUAAUACCGGAUGAUAUUUUGAACCGCAUGGUUCAGAAGUGGAAGACGGUCUUGCUGUCACUUAUAGAUGGAUCCGCGCUGCAUUAGCUAGUUGGUAAGGUAACGGCUUACCAAGGCAACGAUGCAUAGCCGACCUGAGAGGGUGAUCGGCCACACUGGAACUGAGACACGGUCCAGACUCCUACGGGAGGCAGCAGUAGGGAAUCUUCCGCAAUGGGCGAAAGCCUGACGGAGCAACGCCGCGUGAGUGAUGAAGGUCUUCGGAUCGUAAAACUCUGUUAUUAGGGAAGAACAUAUGUGUAAGUAACUGUGCACAUCUUGACGGUACCUAAUCAGAAAGCCACGGCUAACUACGUG
rnacentral:rRNA from 1 species